rnacentral:lncRNA from 1 species
CUCCUCCGCCCACCAGCUAAGCCUCACCCUGGAGGCAAGAGUAACCAAUCCACCCAAUUCCCCUGCUGCUGGACCCCUCCUGGACUACCAGUGCCCAUCGAAACUGCCAAUCCCUUUUGAGCUGGAGGAACCCUCAGGCCUGAAGACCAGCUCUCAAAGACCAAGAGAGGGUAGGGAGUCCAGAGAUAAGUACCUGGACCCAGCAAACUGGUCAGCGGUUGCAGACCAGAGGCACUUGGACAAAGUCUGUCCCACAGGCUUCAAGCUUGCUGGCUGGAGAUCAUUUACAGAAAGAUCUUUGGGAAUUAACACAUUCUUAUGGCCAGGGAAUUCAGCUUGCAAUUGA